rnacentral:misc_RNA from 1 species
GAUGAAGAACGUAGCGAAAUGCGAUACUUGGUGUGAAUUGCAGAAUCCCGUGAACCAUCGAGUCUUUGAACGCAAGUUGCGCCUCAAGCCAUUAGGUUGAGGGCACGUCUGCCUGGGCGUCACAUAUCGUUGCCUGAUGCCAGUUUCCUCGUGAUGGGUGACUGUGCAGGGCGAAUGAUGGCUUCCCGUGAGCAUUGUUGCCUCAUGGUUGGUUGAAAAUUGAGUCCUUGGUAGGGAGCGCCGUGAUAGAUGGUGGUUGAGUGACGAACGAGACCCAAUCAUGUGAGACCCCUACCGAAUUUGGCCUUCAUGACCCACAUGCGUCUUUGGAACCCUCAUGACGAGACCUCAGGUCAGGCGGGGCUACCCGCUGAGUUUAAGCAUAUCAAUAAGCGGAGGA